UCUCAAAAAAAAAAAAAUCCUCCUCGCCCCACCGCUGCGCGUCGUCUGCUCACACUGGGUCGCUGGCCUUGCUCGAGCGAAGGAGUGAAGAUCUGCCGGGGGCUCCGAGUUUUCCCCGAUCUUGCUGAAGGGUUCAUCCCCCCGACGCCGCCGUGCGACCACCGUCGUCCCUGCUGGUUCGAGCCGCGCCCCCGUCCAAGCUGGUUCGUACCUCCGCCGUCCGACCUGCUUCGAGCCGCCGCCGUCCAAGCUGCUCCGACUGUCACCUCCUGCGACAUAACAACAGCCGGAUCCAGUACUCCGACCACUGAACCAAGGAAAUGAGUCACGCGGCUAUCUACGCGAUGGAGGUGGAGGUGGAGGGGCCGGUGGCGGUUGCUGCUGCACCGCCGCAGGGGGUUAGGAUGGACGACGUUCCAGGGAAGUCUGGAACGCCGUUUGGACUGGCCUUUCGAGCUGGCCAGUUUGUCUGCGCCAUCAUAGCAGUCGCUGUGAUGUCCAGCAGCGACUUCGCUGAUAUCCCUGCGUUCAGCUUUCUUGUUGCAGCGUCUGCUCUGCUAUGUCUCUGGAGCCUCUCGAUGAUGAUUCUGGACGCUUAUGCGUUGUUGGUGAAGCGUCUUCUACGACAUUACCGGCUCUUUCGCGUAAUUACCGUAGGAGAUGCUAUCAUAGGAGCACUUCUUUUUACCGCAGCUAGUGCGUCAGGUGGCUCGUCUGGCACAUAUAGCCUGCAGAUCGAGAUGUGUGGGACAAAUCCCUGCACUAGUUACGCGACUUCGACAGUAUUCGCGUACUUUAGUCUCCUCGCCCUUUUUUUUACUUUCUUUCUCAACUGUAGCUCGGCGGCAGCCAGAGGAGCAGGAGCAGCAGGAGCAGCAGGAGGAGGAGCUGGAGCAGCAACGGGAGCAGGAGGAGCUGGUGCAGCGUAGUAUUUAGGUUAUUAGUUUAAGUCCUAGUCAUAUUGUAUCGGUGAAUUGAGUGAUCACUAUUCCUGUAUGGUUGACUUUUGUUGGAUGUUUUCAUUCCAUCACGUGGAAGGGUGGGCUCAGAAAAAAAUGCUUUAGUGUCUGUUUUUCUUGUUGGUCGGUUAAUUACAGCAUAUGAUAUACAUAUCUGCUUCUUAUGAAGUGCUGCUGGUUCCUAAAGCCAUGAUCAGGUCGAGAGCGUAAGAAUCAACCAACCAUUAAUUUCACGGUGAUAUAACUUUGGUUCUGGAUCGACUGGUUCCUUGGGAUCACGGAUAUGAGGAUCUAGCUCCUCGCCCUCAAUUGCAAGAAACUCAGGAUCCUGCAUCUCUCCUAAACCAUGGAAUUACCAGAAGGGGAGUGGUUCUGUUGCAGACUUGUAGUAGCUGCUCUGAGAUAUGCUCCUCCUUCGAGAAGAUAAUUUUAUGGAGUCCAGCCUUUGUCGGAGUCAGAUAUUGAUAUCAUAAGAAAGAAACAUGAGUCGAGAGGUUUAAGCAUGGCCACUAGUACAGAUUUCAGAAAUGCCAUUGAAGAUGGCAGUCUAUGGCUUUACUCUGCUGUCCCAAUUAUUCAUGUACGUGUUGCAUUAUUUUGUAUUGGAUAUAGUCUCUUUUAUAUGUACUGUAAAGUGUUUUCUUCUGUUCUGUUUUGCAUCUGAUAUUCUUGCCAGUGGCUGAUGACAUUUUGUACUGGCUGUGGCAGUUCGCCUCCUAGCACACUUUUUGUCAAUGUGUAAUACUAAUUGUCGCACUUGUGUGAUUGUUCUAUCUUUGCAGCAAUCUUUUGAGCCAAUCAGAACUUCAUAUUGGUGGGGAUCUAAUUCCUGAUAAUAGCUAUUUCUUUCUCCUUUUGCAUUAGCUGCUAGAAUUCCCCAAGUGAUGUGGAUAAGUAAUAAAAAUCAUAUGAUGAUUCUUUUUCUCUGUAGAGAAUACUUUGAAGAUAUCCAUCAUGGGAAACAUUUUAGACUUCCAAAAGAGAGGAAGCUAUGAGUAAGAAGCAGCAAAAGAGCAAGAACAAUCAGUAGAAAGUGCAUUCAUUCUGGAGCUGCUCAAGACAGGUAUUGUUAUUUAGCUGUCCGUUUUUAGCAUAUUUUAUUUUGUACAGGAGGUUUAUUGGGGAAGCAGCAUGGCCAUGUGAUUUGUGUGUGUGAGAGAGAGACUACAAAACUAGGUUACAUUACUUAUCAUUGGGUAUCCUUCAUUAAGUGGAUGUUUGUUUCAUGAUUCCAUUUGCCAGGCCAAUAAAAUGGACUGGAAAUGGUUUGACAAAAUCCGCAAUGACUAAUCUAGUAAUCUUAGCUUUGUGGGAUUUAAUCAUGUUGUGCAUGGAUGCCUAUAUAGUAAACCUCUAUAGCGAAUCUGAUAUAAUAAAUAAUCUGCCUUUAGGAGCUUUGAUGCUUAUAUAGAACACCUCUAGAGUGAAACAAUAAACGAUGGAUCUACAUGAGAUAAAAAAGGUUCAGGAGCUUUAUUGUCUUAUAUAAUUGUACGUCGUUUGGUUGUUUCAGUAAUAAAAUUUAUUUUCCUUCCUUUACUGUUGAAUUUCCAAGUUUCCUUUAUUUCCUUUCUUAUGUGAUAUCUAACUGUUUGGCCACCUUUUCUACUCUUACAGUUACUCCUGUUUUCUAACCGAUUGAGUAGUCAGAGAAAUGUUCACAUAUGUAUCAAUAGAAGCACGGUGGUUGAUUGUCUUAUGACCUCUAUAUUUAAUGCAUGCGAUACUUCAGCUCUGCUGAAGAUUUCCCUUUCAUCAGUUGUUUCAGAUGGAUACUUUCCUUUGAUGGUAUUGUCCACCUCAUGUUGUUUCUCUGUUCAUUAUCAGCAUUUUCCGUUUAAUGGUGGCCUUUUCAGAUCACAAUACACUUUGGAGUGUUUCAAACCCUUCAAUUUGUUUAUUCGUUUUCAGUUUAAGAAAAAGGGAAUUUGGGUUUAAAAAUAUGUGUUUAGAGUCUACCACAAUUAGGUAUCAAUUUGGUGUCGUAAAUCAUUUUUCUACUGUCCACUCCAAAUCAUGUUUAUUUUUGUUCCUUAAUCUACUUGAACAGAUGAGAUUUUCUAUCUGGGGCAAUAAUCGUAUUCGAUAUUUUUUACUUCUGUGGUUGCUAUGAAGCCUUUGUGAGAGGAUGCUUUUGUCAAAGCGUUUCAAGUUCUACAUGUGUGCUCGCCAUAUUUGAAGAGGUUGUGCUAGAUCAGCUUUUGAUGCUUAUAUCUGCCCAUGCUAGCUCCAGAUUCGGUAGCAAGCAAGUCAUCUAGACAAAAUACUGGAUAGCCAAUAUUACAUAUUUUUCAUAUUUUCCAAUUCCAUCUUUUAUUCUGGUGUGAAACAUAGAAUAACCAAGGACAUUUAUUUCACUGCUGCAGAGUGUUGAUGGGUUGAGUUGUGAUCAGUGAGCAAAUUGGAACAGUUUGAGGAGAACACUAGGACUUGAUUUUUCUCUCUCAACAAGUAUGAGGUAGCAGUCAUUUUGCCAAAGAUUGAUUGUCAUUUCUAUGUUUCCUAAUGAUUAAAAGGUUGUUGAGGAUCCGUUUGUUUCAACUGUACUUGAAUGCCAUGUUUAUAGUGUAUUGGAUAACUUGGUAGUGUAAGAAUCAUAUCAUAAAGCAACUCUUCUAUGGGGCUGCUCCACCUGCUAAUGCCCCCUCAGGUACUGUUGUGAGCUGUAUUUUAACUUUCAUUCUGAACUUAAUGUUACCUUCAAGUUUUCCUGACGUUACUGUAAAAAUGGAGAAUCAAUAUGUUUCCAUUUGUAAAUAAAGUAGGACUAGCUCAUGCAGUCUAAGUUGAAGUUUUAUUAUUUUUCAUGGGCAAUGGCAAUUAAUGGAAAACAUUCCAUGAGUUGUCUUAGGUUUGUUUGGAUUGGGAUUUGAAGGUGGUAAAGAAGAAGCACGAUAUAUAGUUUUUUGUGCUUGUUUCUGCAGAAAAAAUGGGAGAGAUGGUACACUUUGAGGAAUUACAGUUGAUCAAAGCUAAAGGUGCUUCACAAGGUAAAAUAUGUCCCUGGUAUCUUCUCUUCUCAGAGCUUCAUGUGCUCAUAUCAGUUGGCUUUUUUCUUUUUUCAGCUACUAAAUAUGGCUACAUGGAUAAAUAAAAGGGUUGUAUAAAAAAUUCUGAAUUUUAAACAGACAACCUUCACUUGAGUUUUUGCUAGCUUGCAAUUACCUCUAUCUUUUUCUGCCAUUCAACCUAGCAGGAAACUCGAGUGAAAUCAUGCCGGGUUUAUCUUUUUUCUGUUUAAAAUGGUGAUGUAAGAAUUUAGGAGAAUCAGGUUGAAACAUAGCCUGAUUUCACAUCUUUAGAAUAACUAAAUCAUGUAGGAUUGGAAAAAAGUCACCUAAAUCCAUUUUUACCCGGAGAAUUGGGUACACAUUUUUGUUUAAAAUAUUUGCUCAUCUUAGUGUUAGUUGGGUUUAAAACAAUUUAGGAUAAUUGGAUUGAAGGUUAAACUCCAUCAAGGAUUGAGGGUUGGAAAAGUUAGUUUUGGUCUGAACACACUGAAAGAAAUCUAGAGUUGCAUCUUUUAGAUGGUUCAUAUGGAAACUAUUAGUAUAUCAACACAAAUAUUCUAGAAUCUGAUCAAAUACAGGACCUUUUUUUUACUUGAAACUAUUAAUACCUUCGCAUUUAAUACUGAAACUUUGAAUUUAAUACUGAAGCUCUUAAUACUGAAGCUCCAUGGUCAGUGCUAGUACUCGGGCAGACCACUUGACUUAGCUCAAGGAUAUCGAUCACUGGCAGAGGGUAUCGAUGAUACUUUGCAAUGGCAGCUGCACGAUCUGCCUUUAUUAGUUGCCAAUCUGACAGCAGAUGUGAUUGCUUGUAUUGAUCCCUUGUCCCUCUUCAAUCUGCCUUUCUCUGAGCAAGCUUUCAGUGAAUGGGAGGAUGUUUUCCUGAUCAUCAAUUCUACACAAGUGGCCAACAUGGAAUCCGACAUUUGGAGCUGUCUGGGCGGCUCUUCCCUUCAUUCCUCCAGAAGUACUACUUGAAUCGUUUUGGAGAUCUUCAAUCCGACUUGGUUCUUGGCUGGGUUUGGAAAUGUAAAUGUGUUCCAAAACUCAAGGUCUUCGACUGGCUCCUCAGAAGAAGCUCAACACUUUUGAGAUGAUGGACAAGAGACAUUGUAGAAAAUCCGGUUCUUCUUGUCGUCUACUGCUCUGGAAGACACUGAUCAUCCUUUUUUCGGUUGCCCUUUCAGCAUGGCUUGCUGGCGUAAAAUUGGGAUCCACUGGGAUUUAUGUCUUGGCAUCAAAGACAGAGUGCAGGCUGCCAAACAUCCUUUUAAUGGCCCCAGCUUUAUUAUGGUGUUUAUAUGUGUGGCCUGGCAUAUUUGGAAGCAAAGAAAUGACAUGGUCUUUGAUAGGAAACCCCCCUCAUGUACUAGGUGGUUUAUUAGUUUUAGAGAUGAGCUGGUCCUUUAUUGUAUUAGGAUCAAGGAGUGUCAAAAGUAAGCUAUUUUGGACUGGUUGGAUACUAUUGGCUAAUUAGCUGUUGAGUGCUUCUUUGUCUUUGUGCCUUCCCCCUUAUUUUGCAAAUAACGUUCUCUUGUAAUUAGUAUCCUUUUACUUUAAUAUGAAUCACUGUCGGAGCCUC